rnacentral:rRNA from 1 species
UACAGAGGGGGCAAGCGUUGUUCGGAAUUACUGGGCGUAAAGGGCGCGUAGGCGGCCUUCUAAGUCGAACGUGAAAUCCCCGGGCUCAACCCGGGAACUGCGUCCGAUACUGGAAGGCUUGAAUCCGGGAGAGGGAUGUGGAAUUCCAGGUGUAGCGGUGAAAUGGCGUAGAGAUCUGGAAGAACACCAAAGGCGAAGGCAGCAUCCUGGGAAGUAACUGACGCUCAUGUGCGAAAGCUAGGGAGCGAACGGG